rnacentral:rRNA from 1 species
UACGGAAGGGGCAAGCGUUGUCCGGAAUCAUUGGGCGUAAAGCGCGUGUAGGCGGCUUGGUAAGUCCGCUCUGAAAGCCCGGGGCUCAACCCCGGGAGGCGGGUGGAUACUGUCAAGCUCGAGUCCGGAAGAGGCGAGUGGAAUUCCCGGUGUAGCGGUGAAAUGCGCAGAUAUCGGGAGGAACACCAAUGGCGAAGGCAGCUCGCUGGGACGUGACUGACGCUGAGACGCGAAAGCGUGGGGAGCAAACAGG